rnacentral:lncRNA from 1 species
AAACAAAGUAAAUAAGCAUUCUACUUUUUCUAUGUAAAGGCUGGGGAAUUUGCAUUGCGUUUUCCUUAUCUACCAGUCUUUGUUUCGCAGUCUUUUCCGUCAACUCAAAAUUCUCAAACCCAUAAUUAGUUUCAUCCAUCUUCCACACUCAUCCAUCUUCAUAUAUAUUAUUAUGUCUUGGUUCUGGCUCUCUUGAUCUCUUUUGUUCUAAAAGUGUGUAACUGUGUAUUGCCUUUAAAUUUUCCUUCUUGUUCGUUGCGACACCUUCGGUAUUUGAUAAUUCGUGAAGAAAUCUGCUGCUGAUACUUAAACUGCAGGUACUUUUGAUUUAUUCUGUUCGGUGCCUUUUGUUUUUUGUUUCUUGUAUUUUAUUUGUUUUGCGCAAUGUAAUUAGUAUUAUUUUUUUUUAUCAAAGAAAGAGCGAAUGUAUUUAUCUGCUCAGACUUCCUGUUUUCUUCAUCUAUUUC